UACGGAGGGGGCGAGCGUUAUUCGGAAUUAUUGGGCGUAAAGGGCGCGUAGGCGGCCAUUCAAGUCGGGGGUGAAAGCCUGUGGCUCAACCACAGAAUUGCCUUCGAUACUGUUUGGCUUGAGACCGGAAGAGGUUAGUGGAACUGCGAGUGUAGAGGUGAAAUUCGUAGAUAUUCGCAAGAACACCAGUGGCGAAGGCGGCUAACUGGUCCGGUUCUGACGCUGAGGCGCGAAAGCGUGGGGAGCAAACAGG
rnacentral:rRNA from 1 species